GGACAGGCCUGAGUUCGCUAUCUAAGGUGAAUGAGUUGGACAGGCCUGAGAUCAGUCUAUAAGGUGAAUGAGUUGGGACAGGCCUGAGAUCAGUCUAUAAGGUGAAGUAGUUGGACACCCCUGAGUUCGCUAUCUAAGGUGAAUGAGUUGGACAGGCCUGAGAUCAGUCUAUAAGGUGAAUGAGUUGGACAGGCCUGAUAUCAGUGUAUGAGAUGAAUGAGUUGGGACAGGCCUGAGAUCAGUCUAUAAGGGGAAUGAGUUUGACAGGCCUGAGAUCAUUCUAUAAGGUGAAUGAGUUGGACAGGCCUGAGAUCAGUCUAUAAGGGGAAUUAGUUGGACAGGCCUGAGAUCAGUCUAUAAGAUGAAUGAGUUGGACAGGCCUGAGAUCAGUCUAUAAGGUGAAUGAGUUGGACAGGCCUGAGAUCAGUCUAUAAGGGGAAUUAGUUGGACACCCCUGAGUUCGCUAUCUAAGGGGAAUGAGUUGGACAGGCCUGAGAUCAGUCUAUAAGAUGAAUGAGUUGGGACAGGCCCGAGAUCAGUCUAUAAGGUGAUUGAGUUGGACAGGCCUGAGAUCAGUCUAUAAGGGGAAUUAGUUGGACACCCCUGAGUUCGCUAUCUAAGGUGAAUGAGUUGGACAGGCCUGAGAUCAGUCUAUAAGGGGAAUUAGUUGGACACCCCUGAGUUCGCUAUCUAAGGGGAAUGAGUUGGACAGGCCUGAGAUCAGUCUAUAAGAUGAAUGAGUUGGGACAGGCCCGAGAUCAGUCUAUAAGGGGAAUUAGUUGGACACCCCUGAGUUCGCUAUCUAAGGUGAAUGAGUUGGACAGGCCUGAGAUCAGUCUAUAAGGGGAAUGAGUUGGACAGGCCUGAGAUCAGUCUAUGAGAUGAAUGAGUUGGACAGGCCUGAGAUCAGUCUAUAAGGUGAAUGAGUUGGGACAGGCCUGAGAUCAGUCUAAAAGGGGAAUGAGUUGGACAGGCCUGAGAUCAGUCUAUAAGGGGAAUGAGUUGGACAGGCCUGAGAUCAGUCUAUGAGAUGAAUGAGUUGGGACAGGCCUGAGAUCAGUCUAUAAGAUGAACGUCACUAGACGUCCCGUUUAACGGAUUCCCUUUAUGAUCACAACACCUCAGCACACCUGGAUACACAGGACACCUUUACACACACCUGGUGAGAGUGGACACUUCUGGACACCUUUACACACAGCUGGUGAGAGUGGACACUUCUGGACACCUUUACACACACCUGGUGAGAGUGGACACAUCUAGACACCUGGUGACUCAUCUGGAUUAAUCUAGACACCUGGUGACCCAUCUGGAUUAAUCUAGACACCUGGUGACCCACCUGGAUUAAUCUAGACACCUGGUGACUCAUCUGGAUGAAUCUAGACACCUGGUGACUCAUCUGGAUUAAUCUAGACACCUGGUGACUCAUCUGGAUUAAUCUAGACACCUGGUGACUCAUCUGGACAAUUCUGGACACCUGGUGACUCAUCUGGAUUAAUCUAGACACCUGGUGACACCUGGACACAUCUAGACACCACCUGGUGACCCAUCUAGACACCUGGUGACUCAUCUGGACACAUCUAGACACCUGGUGACCCAUCUGGAUUAAUCUAGACACCUGGUGACUCAUCUGGAUUAAUCUAGACACCUGGUGACCCAUCUAUAUUAAUCUAGACACCUGGUGACCCAUCUAGACACCUGGUGACCCAUCUGGAUUAAUUUAGACACCUGGUGACCCAUCUGGAUUAAUCUAGACACCUGGUGACACCUGGACACAUCUAGACACCUGGUGACCCAUCUGGAUUAAUCUAGACACC
ensembl:lncRNA